rnacentral:lncRNA from 1 species
CAAAGAAUGGGGCAAUGGGGGCGGAUCACACCAGUGACAUGAGAGUUGCUCUGGUAGCAGUGGAAAUGCUACUUGUAAAACCAUCCUUAGCUCCAGGAUCGUAGAGCUAUCACUGAGACAAUUGCGCAGUGAGUGACAAGAGAGAUAAGCGGAGAAUGUGAGCCAUCUAUGAGACAGCUAAACUGGGCUGACCAUGUGCAAAGGGAAAUAUUGCAGGAUCCUCAGGCAAUCACUCAAAGGACAACUUCAAUAAAAAACACCAGGUCAGCGGAUAAGACCAUGUCACUCACAGGUUUGUGACUUGAGGCCUGAGCACCAAUGAUCCACUCCACAUCAGUGGAGAAUGUUGGAAAGUAAGGACGCUGUGGACAUUUUCUGAAGUUGGAGAAAUGGAAUGGUGGAGAAGCCAGUAUUGGGGUACCAUGAGUGGAGCAGAGUUGACUACAAAUCUCAAUAAAGCUUUUCAACUGUAUACCUAACUGCAAAGUCAUUUACUCACAACAAGCAAAAAAAUAAAUAUAUACUUAUCUCCC